rnacentral:tRNA from 1 species
GGCGCCGUAGCUCAGAGGCAGAGCGUUGCAUUAGUAAUUCAAAGGCCACGUGUUCGAAUCCCGUCGGCGCCU